AGGAGGCGGAGGCUGCAGUGAGCCUGGAGACAAAGCGAGACUCCGUCUCAAAAAAACAAACCAACAAACAAACAAAAAAAAAACAAAUCAUUUGGAUGGUUCUGACCUUUUCCUGGAAUUAUUGUUUCGUGUAGUAUUUCCCAACUGGAGCAAUUUUAUAUCCCUCCAACCCCAUCCCCAGGUAACAUUUGCCAAUGUCUAGAAACAUUUUUGGUUAUCAACUUGGGGUAUGCUAUUGACACCUUGUAAGCAGAGAUUAGAGAUGCUGCUAAAUAUCUUACAGUGCACAGGAUAAUCUCCCAUAACAAAAAAAUAUCCAGCUCAAAGUGUUAAAAGUGUUGAGGUGCUUUAAUGAAUAAUUUGCAAGAGAAAUUUGAACUCUAAAGUAAUAGUUAUUAGAAAGAUCAAGCAUGUUUACUGAUUGACUUCAUGGGGGAGAUUUCCCAUACAUUUUAGUCUUGUUCUCUUGACCUCGUGACCCACCCACCUCGGUCUCCCAAAGUCCUGGGAUUACAGGCGUGAGCCACCGCGCCCAACCUUGAUGGCAUUUAAACAACCUUCUUAAAUUCUUUUUAGAAGCACUUAUAAUUUUAAAGAUGUAAUAUGAUCAAACACCUUUUUAGUCAUAGAGUAAUCCAUUCAGAAGCCUAGUUUGUUUGUAUUAGUAAAUUGGUGAAUUUCUAUCACCUAGUCAUUGUAAAUAUCUAUUUUUUUCCCAUUUGAGUUUGGAAUGUGCCUUUAAAUGUUUAGCAAUUAAUUUUAAUGAAGUUAUAUAGAGGGCUGUUGCAAGUCCUCUGCCUUCUGCAUCUCUUCUUAGGAAUAUUAUCUCUGUUUAAGUCCAUAUUCUUCAAAGGUAUUUUUUUUUUCCAGUUUGAAUAAAAGUGAAGUUUCUCUUAUGGAGGAUGCUUUGGAGCACUGUUGGUAUAUAAAAUAAAUUUACUCUUGACCAUAAAUUAAAUGGUAGUCUAAUGGAAAAAUAACAUAUUAUCCGAUAGAGUUGUAAAUAAAAUGUAGUACAGACACAGAGUGGGGAGUAAUUUAAUUCCAUUUAUGAAGAUCCAGGGCUUUAUGUAGUUUGGUAUGGUUAUAUUAUAGGGAUGCUCCUUAGUAGUUUGGUAUGUCAUGAUGAGAAAUGAUUCCUGAAAAGCGUAGGGCUAUAGAAUGAAAUAGCAGAAUGAUAUUCCUAAGUUUCUAUAUUAUCUUGAGGUCAUGGAGUGACUGUUGUCUAAGUAUUGAGUGAGAUAAAAUAACAAGUUUUGGAAAAUAAGGAUUUUGGAAAAACUAACCAAGUAAUGUUAUUGAAAGGUUGCUUGAAAUGAAAAGAUAUAUCUGUAUGAAAGGAGAUCAGUUUGGACAUGUUUGAAGAGCUCAUGCAAAAUGAUGUGAGGCUGACACUAGGAAAUUAGAAGCAGCAGGGAUGUAUGAAUGUUACAGAUGCUGUGGAAUGUAUUUUGAAGAACUUUGCAGUCAGUUGAAUAGUAAAGUAGGGGAAUAAAAGGAGAGUUUAAGGCCAAGCAUAUUUAGUUCAUGAGAUGUAAAGAUGAGAAAGAAUAGGUUUGAAGGUAUCUCUAUCAUUUUUUUUUCUUCCUACCAUUCUUUUUACCCACUUUAGGCUAAAUCUUACCAAACUUAAUUUUUCUGAUUUUUUUAAAGUAGCAUUUCUAAAUGGAAGUACUUUGAUUCCUUAUGAAAGUAAGGUCUUGCUAAAUAAGGAACAUCUGACUAAUUAAUAAUGGCAUAUCCACUAAAAUAAGCAAAGGAAAUCUAUAUAGGCUGAUAUAGGAAGAUCUCUAGAUAGAUUAGGAACAAAGUACAUAUGUGCAAACAUAAAUGCUGGCAUAUAGAUAGGGUUUUUUCUACCUUAAUUUGAUGAUAGAAAUAGUCUGUUAUCUUGAAGGAGAGAGAUUGAAAUACUUAGGCUUUUCAUCGAUCUCUUUUUAUACUACGUGACUUUAGCUAUGUGUAUGUUAUGUGAGUACAUUGUAAAAAUGUGAAUUCAGUUUGAGGUGCCUGCUGAGAGAUUUCAUCAGGCAGUUGGGAUCAUGUCUGAAAUUUAAUAGAGGGGACUGUUAAUAACCCAGUUAGAGUAAAUAUACAACGCAAAAGGACAAGAAUGCAUCAGUAGAAAUAAAGAACUAGUUGAUUUAUAAUAGAGGAAUGCUUACAGGUGUGUGCCUUUAUAGAAAAUUACAGUAGGAGAAAUUCAGAGCUUUGUUUUACUUAUGUUAAGUGAAACUCCAUUUUCUGUUUGGUGUAAGUAAGUGUUUCCAUUAAUUGCUGUUGAAAGGUGGCACUGUCCAUAAUAGUGGGUUAGUGAAAGAGAGCAAUACUCUUGAUUUUUAUUUUUUCUUUUUUUAAGAGAGAGGAUCUUGCUCUGUUACCCAGGCUAUGGUGCAGUGGCAUGAUCAUGGCUCACUGCAGCCUUGAACUCCUGGGCUCAAGCGAUCCAUCCUCCUUAGCCUCCCAAGAAGCCAAGACUACAGGCAUGCAACAACACUGCUCGGCUAAUUGAAAACAUUUUUUUUUUUUGGUAGAGACAGGAUCUCGCUAUGUUGUUCAGGCUGGUCUUGAACUCCUGGUCUUCAGUGGUGCUACUACUUCAGCCUCUCAAAGCACUGGGAUUACAGGUGUGAGCCACUGCACCAGGCCCUCUUGAUAUUUCUAAUCAGCAGUUUUAGGUGGUAACAGCUACUUAACCAGUAUAGAGUAACAGAAUUUAUCAUUUCAAAGUAUUUUUUUAUUCUUAGACUUUGAUGUGCAGCAGUUUUAUGUUUAACUUUCAAAAGACUUUUUAAAAAGUGAAAUUCCUUUUCUAAUUUGUUAGAAUUUACUUGCAGGGAAGGAGAGGUUGGAGUGGAACAUAGCAUAAUCCAUAUGUAAGACAUUUGUGGCAAAUAUUUAUCCUUCUUUGGUUUCUGAUUCUUUUUAGUUUCUCUGUUAGUUAAUGAUAGCAUGUAUUUCAGGAUAGAGGCUAAGAAUUGUAUAAAUUUUAAAGAUAGGGAAAUUUCUGGCAAGAAACAUAUCUUUUUUCAAGGGUUUAGCGGUCAGUUUUAGAACAAUUUAUCAUUGUUUAAUCUGCUAUUCUGAUUCAGAGGGAAACCUUUCUAAACCCUGAGCAAAGAAAGUACUAUAUUUGAGCAUAGUUCUUUACAUGUUUUAUUCUCUAGCCAAAGUAUAUCAGGAUAUCUUAACUAUGAUGUUCAUCAAUAGAACUAACUCCUAUGUUGUAAUUAGUAAUGUACCAGAUAUGUAUGUAUAGUUACAGAAUGCAUUAUUAGAUCUCUAAAAGGUAGUUCUGAAUGCCUUUGUUUCACAGAAAGUCUGUGAUGAAAUAAACUUGUUUUGUUUUUACUGUAGUCUAAAUCUUUUAAGUCUUAUUUGCUGUUUUAUUUUAAUACAAUAAAGCUUUCCUUUUGACAGUGACCUUGACUCAGUUUAAGGAUUGAUUCUGAAUGUGGGAGAUCGUAAUAGAAAAAAUACCCUUUAAAAAGUGGUAGAUUGGCCGGGCGUGGUGGCUCACACCUGUAAUCCCAGCACUUUGGGAGGC